rnacentral:rRNA from 1 species
AACGAACGCUGGCGGCAUGCCUAACACAUGCAAGUCGAACGAGACCUUCGGGUCUAUUGGCGCACGGGUGCGUAACGCGUGGGAACCUGCCCUUAGGUUCGGAAUAACUCCCCGAAAGGGGUGCUAAUACCGGAUAAUGUCUUCGGACCAAAGAUUUAUCGCCUUUGGAUGGGCCCGCGUUGGAUUAGCUAGUUGGUAGGGUAAAAGCCUACCAAGGCGACGAUCCUUAGCUGGUCUGAGAGGAUGAUCAGCCACACUGGGACUGAGACACGGCCCAGACUCCUACGGGAGGCAGCAGUGGGGAAUAUUGGACAAUGGGCGGAAGCCUGAUCCAGCGAUGCCGCGUGAGUGAUGAAGGCCUUAGAGUUGUAAAGCUCUUUUAUACGGGAUGAUAAUGACAGUACCGGGAGAAUAAGCUCCGGCUAACUCCGUG